rnacentral:rRNA from 1 species
GUAUGAUUCAUGACUGGGGUGAAGUCGUAACAAGGUAACCGUAGGGGAACCUGCGGUUGGAUCACCUCCUUA